rnacentral:lncRNA from 1 species
GAUGGUGGGUUCAAACGGAAGCCCUCGAUGCCAGGAACAAUUUGAAGGCACCAAAUAAAAUUUUGGACGGUUCAAACUUCUGAAAAUGUGAAGAGAAGGUGGAGUAGAGUUAGAGAGAAGGCAGAGAAUGUUUUUAGGGCAAGGAAUUCUAGUGAGAGAGAGGAAAUGCUGAAAAUGAAAUCUGAAAUGGGAAAGGAACCCCUCCAAAGACCAAGUACUCCAACUCU